GAGUAGGUUAUUGCCAGGGUUUUUAUUUUUAUACUUUAAACUUUGAUUUUAUUUUUAUGUUUUUUAAAUAUUGGUGUUUUUGAAUGUGUUGUUUAAAUAACAUAAAAAAUAAAAUAUAUAUUGACAUGUAUUAAACAAAGAUAUAUAUUAUUUUAUGUUGUAUAAAUAAAUUGGCAAAAUAGAGAUGGAAGAUAAAAAUA
rnacentral:misc_RNA from 4 species